UGUGAGGCAUGCUGGAGGUAUCAGAAGUGCGAAUGCUGACAUAAGUAACGAUAAAGCGGGUGAAAAGCCCGCUCGCCGGAAGACCAAGGGUUCCUGUCCAACGUUAAUCGGGGCAGGGUGAGUCGACCCCUAAGGCGAGGCCGAAAGGCGUAGUCGAUGGGAAACAGGUUAAUAUUCCUGUACUUGGUGUUACUGCGAAGGGGGGACGGAGAAGGCUAUGUUGGCCGGGCGACGGUUGUCCCGGUUUAAGCGUGUAGGCUGGUUUUCCAGGCAAAUCCGGAAAAUCAAGGCUGAGGCGUGAUGACGAGGCACUACGGUGCUGAAGCAACAAAUGCCCUGCUUCCAGGAAAAGCCUCUAAGCAUCAGGUAACAUCAAAUCGUACCCCAAACCGACACAGGUGGUCAGGUAGAGAAUACCAAGGCGCUUGAGAGAACUCGGGUGAAGGAACUAGGCAAAAUGGUGCCGUAACUUCGGGAGAA
rnacentral:rRNA from 1 species